rnacentral:rRNA from 1 species
CCUACGGGGUGCAGCAGUGGGGAAUAUUGGACAAUGGGCGAAAGCCUGAUCCAGCCAUGCCGCGUGUGUGAAGAAGGCCUUCGGGUUGUAAAGCACUUUCAGUGGGGAAGAAAGCCUUGGGGCUAAUACCCUCGAGGAAGGACAUCACCCACAGAAGAAGCACCGGCUAACUCCGUGCCAGCAGCCGCGGUAAUACGGAGGGUGCGAGCGUUAAUCGGAAUUACUGGGCGUAAAGCGCGCGUAGGCGGUCUGAUAAGCCGGUUGUGAAAGCCCCGGGCUCAACCUGGGAACGGCAUCCGGAACUGUCAGGCUAGAGUGCAGGAGAGGAAGGUAGAAUUCCCGGUGUAGCAGUGAAAUGCGUAGAGAUCGGGAGGAAUACCAGUGGCGAAGGCGGCCUUCUGGACUGACACUGACGCUGAGGUGCGAAAGCGUGGGUAGCAAACAGGAUUACAUACCCCUGUAGUC